CUUUUCCCUCGUUUUGCGAUCUUUCCCUGUUCCCACCCCGCGCUGCCGAGGGUGGCGCGAUUGUCGCGCUCCUCGAGGCUAGCUCGCGAUUAUUUUUUUAACGCGGGACUCGUUUUGGUCGCGGGAACUCCUAUCGCGGAGGAACAGCGGUGUAGCUCGACGAGUUUUGUAGGUUUGGCUGGGAAGUGACAUUUGGUGUUGUGCGAAUUGUGCAAUUUGAUGUUGAGUAAGACUCGUGAUGUAGCAUCACGAGCGUGGGGACAUCGAAUACAACAAACAAGGCCAAGCAAAUGGACUAUCACCUAGACCUAGAGGCCUAUGUAUACUGUAGUUGGAGAAUGAAUAAUGGAUGGAAGAAAAACUAAAAUGAAAGAAUGAAGGCUACAGAAUAAAAGGAAUUAUAUGAAUAAUGAAUACUGGAAUAAAAGCUAAAAUGAAAGAAUGAAGACUAUUAAAUAAAAGGAAUGAAAUGAAUUAAUUUCUUUAAUUUUAGCAAGCGUCAUUAACAAUGUUCAAAAGAAUAAACAACUUAACAAAAACUAAAAUGAAAGAAUUAACUCUAUGCAGAAGUGAAAAGAACUGACGUCAAAUGGUAUCUAAUUAUCUCGCUUAACCUGUUAAGUUGUAGCUCCAGCAUGAGGAAGUGAUUAGUUGGAAUGAGACCAGACGAGUGGACUGUCGUUUACACCUGUAGCCAAUCUAACCGGGUCAUAAACUUGGAAGAUAAACAUCUAAAAUCGCAAUUUAUUGGCUGCGAAAUAAAAGGACCAAAAGAAUAAAGGUUUCUUAAUCCUCGGUAUAAUCAUCUUCCAUGUAAUUCUCAGGGAUUAUUUCUUAGGCGCCGACACGUACUUAACAGGAAUACUUGAAAAUUUAAUUUUUUGGGACACAUGCAGAAAAGUGGCAGACGUGGAUAUUUUAUUAAAUUCUGCUGAGCAUGUUCGUUUUCCGGUUGGUGGAACGAGAAUGGCGACACGCUGCUGCCACUCUGAAAUUUGGAACGUCUUCCGUGUAUAACAGUAUGGACUGAAUCCUUUAAGGUAGAAGCACAACCGCUUCGAACCAUCCUGUGCAUAUUACCAUAAAUGAAGACGCUAAACGCGUUGCAACUUCCGAUUAGAAUCAGAUUGACAUUCUUUACAUAUAUGUAGCAGUGUAACUUAUAAUUUAUCACAAAUGGUAUCUUAGUGUCUCUAUCUAGAAAUACCGUUCCAUCACUACAGACGAGUCGUGCUCCUCGUAGACGCGUUUCUGCAGUGGUCGCAUGAUGGGUCUGGGCGAUUAGUAUGAGAAGCUGGAAUGCAUGCGUUAUCAUCGUUUUGCAGGAAAUUAAAAUAUUUCCUUUUAACGUCAGACUAGUUGAUAUUUAUACACGUAACUAACUUAAGUCAACACGCUUCUUUAUCUUAGUAACCCUUAGAAAAUUUGUUAAGACUCAUCCUUAUCUCAGUUCCCCUCCUUCUCUACUUUGUCCACUUGCCAUAGCUAAUAAAGACACACUGCAUCUUUCACUAGAAAGACUGAAUACCAAAUCGAAACGAACCACGUUGUAUCUCUGUGCCGAAAAUCCGUGUUAUUAAAAUCUAGUUU